rnacentral:rRNA from 1 species
GACGAACGCUGGCGGCGUGCUUAACACAUGCAAGUCGAACGAUGAAGAAAAGAAUUGAAGCUUCGGCAGAAAUUCAUUUCGGAUUAGUGGCAGACGGGUGAGUAACGCGUGAGCAACCUACCUCUUACAAAGGGAUAGCCUCGGGAAACCGGGAUUAAUACCAUAUAACAUUGCGACGAAGCAUUUCGAUGCAAUCAAAGCUACGGCGGUAAGAGAUGGGCUCGCGUCCCAUUAACCAGAUGGUGAGGUAACGGCUCACCAUAGUAACGAUGGGUAACCGGCAUGAGAGGGUGAGCGGUCACACUGGAACUGAGACACGGUCCAGACUCCUACGGGAGGCAGGAGUGGCGAAUAGUGCAAAAUGGAGGGAACGCUGAUGCAGCGACGCCGCGUGAGUGAUGAAGGAAUUCGUUACGUAAAACUCUGUUAAAUGGGAAGAAAAGGACUGUACCAUAGGAGAAAGCUCCGGCUAAAUACGUG